CAACGCAGGUUCACUCUCCUUAAGUGCUUAGUCGAGCCGCGGGCGGCGCGCGAGGUAGCACGUCUUGCACCCGCUUUUCACUUUUGGUUCGGCGGUUAGGUAGGGGGAGAGGGAGAGCAGGGCUGGGGACGGAGCGCGUCGGCGGAGCAGAGAGGAGGGGAGAGGGAGCACAAGAGAGGGUGCGGCGACCGGGAGAGAGAGCGGAGUCGGCGGAGGAGAGGAGGGGACGCGGCAGCCGAGGGAGUAGGACGAAGAAGGAGGAAAGGCAGCCGCCGUCACCAUUGACCACUCGUACCCUCGUCGCCGACGCCGACCUGCGGCACUCGAGCCCUCGUCGAACAACUCUACCAGGUUCGCGUCAACCCUUGCUGGUUCCGUUCCUCCUAGUUCUAGACCUACCGUGCGGAGUGGGAGCCGAUGGAGAAGGUGGAGGGGCAGCUGACGGUGAAUAGUGCCUCCUCCUUCCCUACCUCUCUAUACCGCCGACGCUGACCUCGACCGCCUACGGUCUAUCUCCAGGUGGGACAAGGGCCGGAGGGCGCAGGGCGGGGCCAUGUCCCCGUUGCCGUUCCACUUCUAGCAGUACGGGCCUUAACCCGAGCCACUACUUCCCGUUCGCUCCAAGGAUGGGUACCCGAGGCCGUUCCGAGAGUGACUACCUAAACGUCAUACGGAUUAGAACCUGCACACGUUUGGUUGUAUCAACACUUACUCGAGACGAUCUAACAGAGUCGAGUACGGUACUCGAAACCAUCACACAGUGACGUUACGCUUCUAAUUUUCAAUUCAAGAGACUGCCACUCAAUACACACCAAACUCCCCAACGUCGAACGGAUUGUCUCCAAGGGAUUUUUGCUACAAAGUCCUUUUCAUUCGUCAUAAGAGAAGCUGGCAGGCUAAACACAACUAGCACGACGUUCAACUACGGACCCAAAUGUUGACCACCAAAAAGGUAAGGAAUUAGGAGUACAGAAGAACACACGCACACACAGUGUACACGAAUGUAGAUCCAAACUACGCUUAAAAGAAAAAUGUCCCACGAUCGGUGACAUCAAGACAAACAAACAAGCAUCCUGUGUACACUGUUUGCCACUGUAACGCCAGAGAAAUGGAAGUAUAAGAAUAGAACCAAAACAAAGAAAGACGCACAUAGAUGCGGUACCGACUUGUAAGAAACGAGUAACUAUACACAUACGUGCCCAAACAAGAAGAAGAUCUCUUAAUUCAACCACUGAAAAUAAUAACAAUUAACGAGUCUCACUAACAAGAGUUUCAUCAGAACUUGUUAAUUAGUAAACGUCCAUAAAUAGAUUGGUAAUCACCGAAGUCAAAGGACAGUAGAAAGAAAACCUUUACCCUCAACAACAACGAAGGGUCCAGUCGACUCCAAUAUGACAUCUUGUCUAAGUCAUAAGCGAAUAUAAGUGUAUUCGAGUUCCUAUCAAAAGAAACACAACAACACCGAUACCUGUCGACAGCUUUUUUCUCUUCUGCUAUUCGCUCUGAUGAUGUCGCUCUCUCUGCCACCGGUUAUAACACAAUCAACGGACGAAAUACGUUUUGAUUUUGUUCACUCUGACUUUACGAAACCGUACAUAACCGAUUUAAUCUUGCAUCAUACUCUAACCGUAUACGUCCUAUUGUGAUGUUCAACUGUGUGUAUCGUACAUAACCGAUUUAAUCUUGUGUACUCUAAUAGUAUACGAAAGAGUUUUUUCUUCUUCUCUCUAACUGUAUACGUCCUAUUGUGACGUUCAACCGUGUGGAUCCGUUAACCAAUUACAAAAAAACAAAACAGAGAAACGUAUCACGGGUCCAUCACAAACGUGUCUAAUAAACAAUUUAACAAUACUACAGAGAAAGAAAUAGUCGUACAUGUUUUCCAAGUCGUUUCACCCUGAGGGUUCAGACGUUGGUGUUAUCUUUAUUCCAGUACCUCGUUCUCAAGACAACCCGUAGGAAACGUAAAUAGAACAGUCCAAGGUACGAAGUAUCGUACACAUAUUCGUAUCUUCAUGUGUGUAUGUGACGUCAAGCAUUACAGUGAAUUAUCCCCUACGUAAUCCCAUGAAAUAAAGGUAAUAUUUGACUAUUAUUAAUACGCAAAUCUUUCCAUUGUUAUUAGACCCAAUAUCGUCUUAUAAUCUACACCAUACGAACAUACUCAUCUUACGUCUCAAAUAUUUACUUGAUUUUAGGCACUCGUCCUUCACCAUCCAAAUUAAAGUCAAUCUUUUUAUCCAAAUGACGUCGUAGUAUAUAAGUCCUUUAGGGAACUAACAAAAACGGUACAAGUCCGAAAUAUGUAGCAAACAUAUACGUAUUUCAUGCGGUGUACUUGACCUCAAGUAUCACAGUCCUCAUUCUCCCCACGUUCAUCAUCGUACAAUGUCCUAUUCUUGCUGACAAAUCAAAUUGUCACGGGAAAUUGUCAAAUUGAGGUUUCUCCAGACUACUUUACUUAAAAACUAUAUAGACUUGAGAUCUCAUAUUCUACGUAGAAGGAUGAGAAGGACUCUAGUGCCAAUAGUAUUGAUAAAUAAACUCUAUACGCUUCACAAGGAAACUAUCAUCUACGUUGAACGUCGAUAACACCUGUAAGCAAACAAGCACCCUUCAAAACAGAGAAGGGAUAUCAGUUUCGAGUACACGUUAAACCUCUUUUUACGUGUGUACGAUAGCGACGUAAACCACCAAGGAAAAAAAUCGAUUUUUUGGACAGAAACAAAACGAGGAAAAACAAGAGACAAAUAAUGACAAUUAACGAGUCUCGUAACAAAGGUUUCAUCAGAACUUAUUAAUUAGUAAACGUACAUGGAUUGGUUAUCGCCGAAUGUAAAGGACCAGUAAAAAGAAAACCUUUACCUUCAAUAACGAAGGAUCCACUCGACUCCACUAUUGACUUGAGAGAAGAUGAUAACUCUUCUAAGUCAUAAGUGAAUAUAAAAGUAAUCGGGUUCCUAUCAAAAAUAACACAACACCGACACCCGUCGAUGGUUUUUUUCUUUUCUCCUACUCGCUCUAAUGACGUCACUCUCUACCGCCGGUGCUCUCGAUACCUACGUCCUCUCCCAAGUACAACAAAUAUAUCAAGGAGAUCCGGCACACAGAAAGGUAGGGGGCGAGGUCCUCUCCCAAGUACAACAAAUAAAAUAAUCAGCUUAUAUUAUAUUAUACUCUAGUGGAUGGUAGCAGUAAGAACUAAUGUCAGAGUAUGUUUUCAUCAGGUUAAUCAACAUGAUUAAGUAUUUAUAAAAACCAUACCAAGAAUAAACCAAAGUUCUGUAUCUUAAAAAAAACUUGCCAGUGGCCCCCCUCUCUCAGGGGUGAACUUAUAUAACGAGUUUCACCGGUUUUACGGUUCACAAACUACGUCAAAUAUUCCUUUUGGCCUAGCUUUUGGAAUUGUCCAACUGGAGUAAAUAUUCCCUUUCGCCCGACUUUUUGGCGUGUCCUCCCUUUCUAAUGUAUCCCACUCUUGUAUACCUGCGGGGCUUCUUCCGUGAUGGAUCGGUCGUUCGGUUCUCUGGUGGUGGUAUUUUCAGCUCACCUUCACCACACAGCAGCUCCUUAGUGUUAUGGUUGUGAUUUGUUGAUAGGAUUGCGUGGUGUGGCCACACACAUGGGUAGUUGUCUCCUCGUCGUGGUUAGUUGCUCACUGGGUAGUGCUUGGAAUUGACCUUUGAGGCGGUGUCGUUCGGCUGUGCUAAUCGUUCCACCCUUCCGUAGUAACGCAACAACAACUCGUCUCUACUUGGCUCUAUCGUGCUUCGAGUGGUUUUGCCUGCUGUCUGUACUCUCCCAGAACUCGAUCGUCUCGUCUCCUACUGGUCCCGUUGCCUCCUACUUACCGCCGUUCCUCGAGGGAUCACUGCGGAAGUUCUUCCACCUGCUGUAAGCUCCUACUGCAGCAGUGUCUCGAAAGCGGACCUCGUAUUGGCCAAUUUAAGGGUCUCCCGUCUCGGCUCUCGACGCUUAGGCCUGGCUCUCUGUCCUCACCGUGUACUCGGUGCGGGGGUUCUCCCAUUCGCUGCGACCUCAUCGCGGCGGCACCAGUCGACUGUUCCAGUCGUCCCUAAAGAGGGUAUCGUGUAGGGAGUUACCACCCGGCGGUAGGUUCACCUCAGCUUCCCGCUGUCUCCUGUCCUAGCUCUGCCUGUACACUCCGCCUACCACUUGGCUCCUUCCU
rnacentral:rRNA from 1 species